CAUCAGUUGUCAGGUUUCUUCUUGAUCAUGGUGCUAAGCCAGACAAAACAAAUAUGAAAGGGUUUACUCUGCUGCAUUAUGCAGCAAGUACAGGCACACAUACCGACCCAAAGUCAGCCAAGUUAUGGGCAGCUAACACCCGAGAUACCUGUGAAAUAGCAGAGUUAUUAUUGUCCAGGGGAGCAUAUGUUGACCCUAUAUGUGAAAAUGGAACACCACUACACAUUGCUGCUCAUAAAGGAAAUGUGAGAAUGUU